ensembl:lncRNA
CAAAAAAGCCUGUAAGCAAACAGCAGACAUUAACACUUCCGAAGGUGACCAUGCAGUUAAGAGCAAAGGAGGAAGCAGAGAAAACAAAAAAGGAUCAGCAAAACAAGUAGCAAACUGCUGUCUAGGAUGAGGAAAGAAGUAUAAAGUGGGACUCAAAAAUCUUUUGAGAGCUGUGCUGCCACAGUAGCCUCGGAAGACAACAUGCAAGGGCUCAGCAGGAGUCGCAGUGGUGGAUAGUGGGGAGAAGAGGACAUGGAUAACCACAUAAAUCACUGCAGAGAUGUGAUUUAUAAAAGCCCUCUGAUACCCUCAACUGGGACUGAAGGCUCUCUCAGGGCAGUGCCGGUCUGGUCCGCCUGGUGGCAAACUGCAUUCACUGGAAGCGCUUCUCCAUGUAGAAGACCAUCGCAGAACUUCUCUUGCUGUGACAGUGUAAUGGGAGGUGGAGACACCUCGAGGAGAAGGUCAAAAGAGACAACAGCAAUUAUAGUCAAUCACAUCAGUGACCUGAGAAAAUCAGGCCCCAAUAUAUGCUUACAUGUGAUCUGUCUACGCCACCUUUCCUAUGUACAGAAACCUCAGGAGGACUGUCCACCCUUCAAAAUCUGUUAGGAUGUAUUUUAACUGCGUGAUAUCGGAGCCCAGCCGCUCUUGGUGGGUUGCAGAAAGAGGACAUAUAAUCACAAUACAUCUUCAGAGGCACAAACUAGGAGCAGCAGAAGACACAGGCAGCUUCCUGGAAUUGCAGCUGAGCAGCUCCAGUGAUUUUUCGGAGACUUCUCGGGUUCCUUUUUCCACAGUUGUUCAUUCAGAAACUUCAAGUGUUCGUGAAAAUGUUUGGGCUUCCUUUUGGCCCCUUCCAGGUGUUUUAUCUACCAAGGAAGCGAAUGUAAGAUUUUAUGGGCAGCAUCCUAACCACAAAGUAAAGAAUUCCAAAGUGGUGUUUGCCUUUGCAAAGAACCUGCUGGAUUCCUCACAAUUUCACAAGGGGACCUCUAAGCAAAGAAGCUCCAAAAUGUAUUAGCACCACUCUGAAUAUUGGUCUUACAAAGCUAUUCAAAUAAUUCUGCCUCCUUGUAUAUAGUUCAUCUUUUUAUUCUGUGAGAAGCAGGUCUGGGGGACAGUAAUUGUACUCCCUUGCACAGUACUGUGUUCACAUUAGGUACAAAGUCUCACCCUACUUCUCAGACCCAGGCCCGCAGCCCUGGAUUGCCUGGGCCCCACGACCAUGUCUCUUCACUGGCUCUUGAAAAGAAUUCAGAUUUUUUUAUGUGGUGGGCCCUGUGUUUUUGUAAAUCUGGCCCUCAUUUUGUUAUCUAACUGGGAACUAGGUGCUUUCUGUUCUUGAAGGUUGCUGCAAUAAUUAUUUUGAUCCUGAAUGAGCCAGAAACUAUUCUAAUGCAUAUCAGUGUAAAUUAAGUCAAUAGAGAGUCUUCAAAUUUAUCCUGGUGUUCAGAGAAUGGAAUUCAUGCACUUCAAUUUACAGCUUAUUAAGUGAUCAGAAUUAAUGAACUCGCAACAACCUUUUCUAUUCUUGUUUACACGUUUUCUUCCUAUUCACUCAUAAUGUACAUCGCUUAGAAAAAGCAGAGAGUUGAAAAGGCAGUGUGUGGGUCAGAUAUGUCCCAUGGAGCACAGCAUUGUGCUUCAAGGCUUUAAUCACAUUUGCAAAGUGACUGUGUAGAAAUGGCACCUUCUGACUGAGUUGAGCAGUAGUCUGUGCAUUCUGAUUUGGAUCUGCUGACCAUGAGGGGAGAGAAGCAAACAUUUUGCUCCUUUUUACUGCUGUUAACAUGGCAUAGGAAUGAGAGAGUUGGUUUCAGAAACAAAGCCAAAUGCUGCCCUUGGUUCCUUCUGUGCAACCAGUAAGAGAAUGUGCCCUGCAGAAUCUUUAUCAGUGCUAGUGAUGCGCAGAAACCCACCCUGAUUUUCAGAACCCCAUUUCUAUUCUGGAAGCUAGAAAAAUAUUUGCCCUGAGGAACAGAGAUGUUCUUCAGAAUCGCUGGAGAACAAUGGCUAUAGAA